rnacentral:lncRNA from 1 species
CAGCGGUCUCUCCCCAUCCGGGGCAGCCGGGAAUGGCUGAGCCUGGGGUUCGCCGCCGCCGCCCCCCCGCCGCCGCCGCCUCCUCCGCCUCCAGCUUUCUGCUCUGGCCUCAGUGCUGAGGAUUGAACCCAGGGCCUCACAUUUGCUAGCUAUUCUCCUGCUAGGUAUCUUCCUAAGAAGAGCUAAAGGCAUCAUAUUAUAGUGGAACAUGAAUACCCACGUUUACAGCAGCACAACUUAUGAUACCUAAAGCUUGGAAGCAGUCUAUAUCCAUCAGCAGAUGAAUGGAUAAAGAAAACGUGGUAUUUAUUCACAAUGCAGUACUAUUCUGCCAUAAAGAAGGAUAAAUUUGAGUCAUUUAUAGGAAAAUAGAUGCACUUUGAGACCAUAAUUUUGAGUGAAAUAAAUCAAGAUACAUAAGCUUAUAUAGUAUAUUGCUAACUUACAUGAGAA